AAUUUAAUUUGUAUCAAAACAAAUUCUAUUAUUUUAGAAAAAGGAGAAAAACAAAAAUGGUCACAGGAAUAAUGUUCCACAUUUUAUACAUUUUUGUGAUUCUCUAUAUUUAUUUAUCUAUAUAUAAUAUAUAUUUUCGCUCCAAUGUGCAAGUUUCACAUAAAUAAAAAAAAAAAAAAAAAAAAAAAUUAUAUAUAUAUAUAUAUAUAUAAAACUUUUAAAUAUUAAUAACAUACGUACAACCUUACAGAUAGUAUAACUGGGGGGUCAUAAAUUACAUAAUAUACCCCUUGUAUACUAUAGAUAUAUGUAUCAAAUGAACAGGUUUGUUCAACUAUAAUUUGUAAUAAUUUUAUAACAACUCACUGUAAUACUUUUAUAUAUAUUGUACUAAUAUAUAUAUUUAUGUCUUCUAUACAUUUUAAGUGAAUCCCUUAACAUAUUUUGUUUUUUUUUUUUUUUCUUUUUACAUAUUUAACUUUACCCUGUUGGAUUUGCUUUUAAUAAAAUAUUGAUUUUCAUUUUUAGUUGCAUUCAUAUAUUACAUUGCUACUAUUAUUAUUACUACUAUUAUUACUACUAUUAUUAUUACUAUUAUUAUUAUUAUUAUUAUUAUUAUUAUUGUGAUUAUGUAGAGUUUUUAAUAUUUCUUCUUUUUUUUUUUUUUUUUUUGUUUUUUCAUUUUAAAGCGGUUCAAGUAGAUUAGCCUACCCUUUUUUUUGUGCAGAAAUAAAUGCAAUAUUAAAAGAAAAACUAAACAAGCAAAUAAGCAAUGUAAACAAAACAAACACAAUAAAACCAAAUAAAUAAGACAAACAAAAUAAACAAAUAGACAAAACAAACGAAAUAGACAUAAUAAUGCGGAAUAUAAUUAACAUUAAAAAUGUUUGACUCUGCUCAUGGAUUUAUGGAAAAUGUAGUACACAUAACAGGGUAUCUGCAUCGUUUAUUGUUUCUUAUGAUAGAACUUGAUAAAAAAGGGCAUAAUAUGAAUAAAACUAUACAAAAAAAAGAAGAAAUAUAUUUAGAUAAUUUAAAUUGUAUUCGUAAAGGCAAAACAUCAAAAUAUCAUAAACGUAGUCAUGACAAAAAAAGAAACGAAUCAAAAUUGCACAAAAGGAGUUCAAACAAAUGUAAUGAAGGAAUUGACCAUUACAAUACCGGAACAAAUGAAUACAAUGAUGCACAUACUAAAAUUAAUGAUACUUAUCAUUUAGAAAAAAAUAAUAUAACAAACAAAUUAAUGUAUAAUGACGGUUUUUUUGAAAAUACACAAAACUUAAAAAUACGUGUAAAGUCGUGUAAAGAUAUGGGAGAUGACAUUGUUAUGGCUUAUGAUGAAAAUACAAAACACGACAAUUUAAUGACACCAUACACAAAUAAUAUAUCAGAAGAAAACCCAAAUAACAUAAACCCAUAUAGUGACGACAAAAAUAGUAUUGCAAAACCGAAUAACAAUAUAAAUGUUGAAUGUGAUAAUGAGCAUUAUCACACGAAACAGAUAAAAACCGAGCAUGAAAGUUUCAACAGUAACAACAGUAACAGCAGCAAAAAAGACAAUAUUAAUAACUCAAAUGAACAAAAUAAUGCGAACUCAGAAACUGUUAGUCUUAUUUCUAAUCAAAAUGACAAAAUCGAAAAAAAGGAAUUGACAAGCAGCAGUACUGUAAUCACUGCUGAUACCUUUAAUAUCACGUUAAACGAAAAUAGUAAUACUAAAAAACAAGAACAAAUAAAUGCAAAUGAACAAAAAAUAGAAAAACACAUUAUUUCAUUAUUAACAGAAAGUAAUUUACAAAAUUAUAAUAAAAAUAAUAAUGAGUUAACAAAAGAAAUAAAUAAAAACAUAAGCAAAGAAAAUGUUAUGGCAGAUAUGUUACCACCACAAACAUCAAUACAGCUUAAACUAAAAAAUGAAUAUACAAACGAGAUAAAUAUAGGAGAAGAUGAAAACAAAAAUGAGCAUAUAAAACAACGCCCAGUAGUAUACACUGAGCAAGAAUUAAAUACAUGUUAUAAUGAUAUAAUAAAUGAUAGAGAACAAUGUAUUGCUUUGCUAAAAGAAAAAAUUUGUAUAAAUAAUCAAAUAUCACAUAUGAUAAAAAACUAUUAUGAAAAAUUAAAAAAACAGUAUGAUCAAUUAUAUACAGAAAUGGAAAUGAAUGGAGAAUCACCACUUAACUUAUAUAACUCAAAUCGAAAUAAAUAUAUGUAUUCAGAAUAUGAUGAUUAUUAUUAUAAUAAUAGUAAUAACAUGGACAAUGACUAUGUUAACAAUAACAACACUAAUAAUAGUUACAAUUACAAUAAUGUAAAAAACAAAAAUGACUAUUUACGUAGAACUAAUAGUAAUGUUAGUUACUCAAAUGCAAAUUAUACAUAUGACAUAUACGAUUUUGAUAAAUUUAAAGAUGAAUAUGAUGAUGACGAUAGUUAUGUAGUUAAUAAAACACAUGGCAGAAAACACUCCAUUAAAUAUGAUGAAGAAUAUAAUCCAUAUAGUGUAGACAGAAGUAAGAAAAAUAAAAAAAUAAAAAAAAAUAAAAUAUCAAACCAUGUUAAUAAUAACACAAGUAAAUAUUUAAAAAUUAUAAAUGAAAAAAGUAACAAUAGUAACAACAAUACUAUUAGUAAUAAAGAUGCUAAUAUAGAUAAUAAUAAUAAAUACCUUAAUAACAUUAAUAAUAAAGACAUUAAUAGCACCUCUAAUCAAAAUGAAAAUAUACAAAAUAUCAGCUAUAUACAUAAAGUACGAAUAAAUAUACAAUCGGUCAAACAUAAAUUUAACAAAAAUACUCCCAUCGAACUUAAUAACGAAACAAACAUUAAUAAUAUAAAACAAAAUAA
rnacentral:lncRNA from 1 species